UACAGGGGGUGCAAACGUUGCUCGGAAUCAUUGGGCGUAAAGCGCACGUAGGCGGUUCGUUAUGUCGGAUGUGAAAGCCCUUGGCUUAACCGAGGAAGUGCAUCCGAAACUGGCGAGCUAGAGUACUAAAGAGGAUCGCGGAAUUCCCGGUGUAGAGGUGAAAUUCGUAGAUAUCGGGAAGAACACCAGUGGCGAAGGCGACUUACUGGACACAUAUUGACGCUGAGGUGCGAAAGCGUGGGGAGCAAACAGG
rnacentral:rRNA from 1 species